AGUGAACGCUGGCGGUAGGCCUAACACAUGCCAGUCGAACGGCAGCACAGUAAGAGCUUGCUCUUACGGGUGGCGAGUGGCGGACGGGUGAGGAAUACAUCGGAAUCUACUUUUUCGUGGGGGAUAACGUAGGGAAACUUACGCUAAUACCGCAUACGACCUACGGGUGAAAGCAGGGGAUCUUCGGACCUUGCGCGAUUGAAUGAGCCGAUGUCGGAUUAGCUAGUUGGCGGGGUAAAGGCCCACCAAGGCGACGAUCCGUAGCUGGUCUGAGAGGAUGAUCAGCCACACUGGAACUGAGACACGGUCCAGACUCCUACGGGAGGCAGCAGUGGGGAAUAUUCGACAAUGGGCGCAAGCCUGAUCCAGCCAUACCGCGUGGGUGAAGAAGGCCUUCGGGUUGUAAAGCCCUUUUGUUGGGAAAGAAAAGCAGCAGGUUAAUACCCCGCUGUUCUGACGGUACCCAAAGAAUAAGCACCGGCUAACUUCGUG
rnacentral:rRNA from 1 species